CUCAGUUACUGUUAUUAAGAAUUCUCCUCACAAUUUAACUGUUAAUAAAAUGCAAUGCUAAAAUACACUUCUACCAAAAAAGGAAGUCAGUUCAAAUUACAAAGAACCAGUGGGGGUUGGUAUAGAAAUACAAGAGUUUGAAACACAGGAACAGAUAGGUAUGUGGGUAGGCGGGGACAAUAGAGCAGGGGGAGUGCAAAUACCAGAUAUACCAGUUUUAGUUUGGGAGGAAGAGUGGGGGAGUGGCUACUCUAGCUCUGGAGGAUGAAUAAGGGGGUUGGUAAUCAAAUGCAAGGGGGGGAGGUGUCCAAACUAGGUGGAAUUAAGGCCUUAGUUCUGACCACCAUGUGGCUCCAUUGUUCCUCAUGACAGUUUAAUUCACCAAGGCAGUUUUUCAACAAUCGGUUUCCAACAGUCAAUAUAUGGAAAGUGAUCAUAAAAUUACGGCCUACUAGUUACAGCCACAUGUACACCCUGCACUAAAUUUAAGUCAAGACUGCCACAUGGAGGCCAUGCGGCCACCAGGACAGGCC